rnacentral:rRNA from 1 species
CCUACGGGUGGCAGCAGUGGGGAAUAUUGCACAAUGGGCGCAAGCCUGAUGCAGCCAUGCCGCGUGUAUGAAGAAGGCCUUCGGGUUGUAAAGUACUUUCAGCGGGGAGGAAGGUGUUGUGUUAAUAACCACAGCAAUUGACGUUACCCGCAGAAGAAGCACCGGCUAACUCCGUGCCAGCAGCCGCGGUAAUACGGAGGGUGCAAGCGUUAAUCGGAAUUACUGGGCGUAAAGCGCACGCAGGCGGUCUGUCAAGUCGGAUGUGAAAUCCCCGGGCUCAACCUGGGAACUGCAUUCGAAACUGGCAGGCUAGAGUCUUGUAGAGGGGGGUAGAAUUCCAGGUGUAGCGGUGAAAUGCGUAGAGAUCUGGAGGAAUACCGGUGGCGAAGGCGGCCCCCUGGACAAAGACUGACGCUCAGGUGCGAAAGCGUGGGGAGCAAACAGGAUUAGAUACCCGAGUAGUC